rnacentral:misc_RNA from 1 species
AUUCUCCAUUCAAUAUAAAUCAAUAAUACACAUGGAAUAUAUAGAAAGAUUAAUAAAAACAGUAAAAAUAACUUACAUAGCUAAAGAAAAUGCAUUAACAAACUCAAUUUUACUUCUUGUAUAAGAAAGUAAUAUAGUUUCAUAUGGGAGAUUCUCUAACCAACAACCGAUGUGAGCCUAAGUGAUGGUAUAACGUCUUACCUCACAUUUCAAGAGGACCUUUCUAUACCUUGCCAUCAGUAUAGAAUCUGAACUACUAAGUGGAUUCACUAGUCUAUGCAUAGAAUCACUAAUGAAUCAUCUAAAAAGUAUAA